GCAUUUGUCAGUUUCAUAUUGUCUGCAUACCACUGCUAAACGCGAAUAAUCUUUGUGCACAUAAAGCAAAACAGGAAUGUCUGAAAUCUUUUGUGACUUUUGAAAAAAAUAAUAAUACAGUAAAACUUGGUUAUAGCGAACACGUUGAUAAUGAAUUGACGCUUACAGCAAAGUGAUUUUUAUUCCCCGUGACUUAAAUACAUUUUAUUAUAUUUCAAUUGGAAAAACCUGAGGGAGCAGAAAACAACCAUUACUUCAAACAGCAGAUUGCAACAUGAAAAGAAUCCGCUUUAAACCAAAGCUGCUUACUAUUACCUCUUUCUUAGCUGUAUGCGUUGGUGUGUACAUACUUGGCGUCGCAUAUUCUCUCUUUCGAGAACCCAUGAACAACAAUUCUUUAUUUAUCGUGCUGAAUCAGAGAGAUGACACGCCAGAUCAAUGUGAGAAUGUUAAUCUUAUGUAUUAUGAUGAGGAACAAAACAAUGAAAACAUUAAAGAUUUAAAAGAAUGCAAAGGUUCUGACAAAAACUUUGAAAAAGUGUUAAGGAAAAAUAUGCAGAAAGUAGACAACUAUUUAUUUAAUGAUUCAAAUAAGUUGUUAAAAUGCUUACAAUUAGACAGAGAGGGAAUCAUUAAACUAUCAACACCAAGAAGGAGCAAAGAAUUGCUUCCUAUAUUUGUGACGGCUCUGUCUGAUAAUCAUUUUCAAGAAUUCAUACAACUUAUCAACAGUCUUAAAAUAUAUCAAGAAACAAAGCACCCACAGUUAAUGAUCUUUGUGUACGACAUAGGGUUAUCAAAAGAAAAUUCAAAACUGGUGCGGCAAAUGUGCAAUUGCAAGGUUAGAGCAUUCCCAUUCAAUACCUUCCCUAAACACGUGAAAAAUGUACUUGGAUAUACGUGGAAACCGAUCAUCAUCCAAAUGAUGCUUCAAGAAUUUGAUUUUGUGAUGUGGCUGGAUACUUCUGUAAGAUAAGAAAAUACAGACCCAUAUUUUGUUAAAGCGAAAUGCCUCGGAAUUCAGGUUUUAGAGGGAUCCGGUUCAAUUGCUGUCAGAACUCAAAAGCGGCUUUUUGAGCGUUUUAAGGAGGAACAGUGCAUGUUUAAUUAUCCUGAAAUACAAGCUGGUAUGGUGAUUAUCUCCCGCACAUACUUUACACUUAAUUAUAUAAUGCGGCCAUGGGUGGGCUGUGCUCUUGAAUAUGGUUGCAUGGACUUUCCGAAUGCGGAAGUUUAUAUAAACUGCACCAAAAGGUGGAUUCCUUCGGAUUGUCACAGGUUUGACCAAUCAACUCUCGGUGUUAUUAUGACCAGACUAUUCAACAAAAGAAGACACCACUUUGUCGUAAAAGAAGAUUUUGCAAAAGUCCUACGACAUGAAACCGAAAGCUCUCAAAGCCCAAACAUCUUUUAAUAAUUGAUAAUUUCGUCUCACCCAUAAUUUUCCUGCAUGUUUUCCGUUUGUUUGUGUUGUGUGCUGUUCAAUUUUUCAUGACAAAAUUAGUUACAUGACUUGUUUUAAUCAGUAUUGCCUGUUCGUUACCAUAAUUGUCUGUUAAAAUUUAAACGUAUCAAGUGACUAAAAUACAAUUGUUAUGGACAGAUACAGAAAAAAAUAAUUUUAAAUUUAUUAUUAAAAGAAUAUUUUC
rnacentral:sRNA from 1 species